CGAGCCAGUUCUAAAAAAAGAUGGAAAUAAAUAUUAUUAUUCCUUUACAAUUCCAAACCCACCGUUGCUCCUCUUUCUCAAAAACACCAAAAAAUUCUUAUGUGCAUCUUCACUACCUCUUCCAAACCUCUAGACAUAGCGGAUCCGGAAGACCCUGCGCCAAACAUUAUAAAACGCACCUUCGAUAUGAUUGCUUCAAUCUUAAAUAUAUCCUUGGCCCUUGCAUUUGUGGGCACCAGCCAAUUGGAUUUUUUUUGGUUCAAUCCCGUACGUAUUCCGGGUCAGUGCAUUUAUGAAAGUCCAAAAUUAAUAGGAGCAGUCUUUCUUGGGGUGGUUUUUUCGAUUUAUUUACAAAUAGGGACGACGUUGCCAUUCAGUACCGGAACCACUUCUCCUUCAUAUUCAUGAAGGGAGCUCUCAUAAAGAUAUUGGGACUAUUCAUCACGUUUUCGAUGGGUGGGAUCUCGAGCAUCAGAUAUCGUUUCUUCACCAAAACAUUUGGAGAAGAUACUUCUAAAGUCUUCAUCUAAGUUCGACGGCAAAUCAGGAUUUUAACACUUUUAAAAGCAUGUAAAAUAGAUUUUGAGAUUAAUAAACUUUUGAGGUUUGAUUGAUAUCUUAGCAAUCUGGGUUUGUUCAUGGUAAUCAGAUGAUUUUCUUUAAAUAUGAUAUCUACCGAACAUAUCCUGGAGUGAAAAUUUAUUGGAUCAUCUAGUCCUAGUAUCAGAAGAAGUACUUGUAGAGCGGAAGCCCAUGAGCUUACAUUUGUCCCCAAUAAAUACUCAGCGUUCUCACAAAUUUUAAUAGUUCGUUAGGUCCCAUAGCUAUUCUAUUUUCAAAGAAUUCCGUUUGACUUCGUGUUUUACUCGCAUUGCCCAGAAAAGCAGUAUAAUUUGAUUCUUUUUAGUCGUGUGAGAUUCAAGCUUUUCCACACCAUUUCAAUGUUCGAGAGAUCCAAACCCUACUUACCUUUGGUGAUUUCCUAUGAUUUUAUAAUUAAUGUUUUAAAUAUUGUUCAAUAAUUGAUCUUAUACACUCGUAUUUUUUUAUUUUAUUUGAUUCCUAAUUUAAUAAAAACGCGUUUGACUAUUGUUUUUUAAA
rnacentral:lncRNA from 1 species